GGAUGUGAGGGCCAGCUACCUGAGAAACCUGCUACGUCAUUUGUCACCAGUGUUGAUCUGGCUGAUCUGUCUAGCUUCAGGGUGGUCCCUUCCUCCCUCACUGCUCUGUGUGUGUGUGUCCUGAAGCUAAACCUGUGCACUCAGUCAAAGAGGCAUCUUCCCCAAAUAGAGGAUUGGUCUUCGGUCAAGGGUAUAUGAGAA
rnacentral:snRNA from 1 species